UACGUAGGGUGCGAGCGUUGUCCGGAAUUAUUGGGCGUAAAGGGCUCGUAGGCGGUCUGUUGCGUCGGUAGUGAAAACUCAGGGCUUAACCCUGAGCCUGCUUCCGAUACGGGCAGACUAGAGGUAUUCAGGGGAGAACGGAAUUCCCGGUGUAGCGGUGAAAUGCGCAGAUAUCGGGAGGAACACCAGUGGCGAAGGCGGCUCACUGGCCCGGUACUGACGCUGAGGCACGAAAGCGUGGGGAGCAAACAGGG
rnacentral:rRNA from 1 species